rnacentral:rRNA from 1 species
GAUGAACGCUGGCGGCGUGCCUAACACAUGCAAGUCGAACGGAAAGGCCCAAGCUUGCUUGGGUACUCGAGUGGCGAACGGGUGAGUAACACGUGGGUGAUCUGCCCUGCACUUCGGGAUAAGCCUGGGAAACUGGGUCUAAUACCGGAUAGGACCACUUCUUGGAUGUUGUGGUGGAAAGUUUUUUCGGUGUGGGAUGAGCUCGCGGCCUAUCAGCUUGUUGGUGGGGUAAUGGCCUACCAAGGCGUCGACGGGUAGCCGGCCUGAGAGGGUGUACGGCCACAUUGGGACUGAGAUACGGCCCAGACUCCUACGGGAGGCAGCAGUGGGGAAUAUUGCACAAUGGGCGCAAGCCUGAUGCAGCGACGCCGCGUGGGGGAUGACGGCCUUCGGGUUGUAAACUCCUUUCGCUAGGGACGAAGCGUUUUGUGACGGUACCUGGAGAAGAAGCACCGGCUAACUACGUG